rnacentral:rRNA from 1 species
AACCUCCGCAAUGUGAGAAAUCGCGACGGGGGGAUCCCAAGUGCCAUUCUUAACGGGAUGGCUUUUCAUUAGUGUAAAGAGCUUUUGGAAUAAGAGCUGGGCAAGACCGGUGCCAGCCGCCGCGGUAACACCGGCAGCUCUAGUGGUAGCAAUUUUUAUUGGGCCUAAAGCGUCCGUAGCCGGUUUAAUAAGUCUCUGGUGAAAUCCUGUAGCUUAACUGUGGGAAUUGCUGGAGAUACUAUUAGACUUGAGACCGGGAGAGGUUAGAGGUACUCCCAGGGUAGAGGUGAAAUUCUGUAAUCCUGGGAGGACUGCCUGUUGCGAAGGCGUCUAACUGGAACGGUUCUGACGGUGAGGGACGAAAGUUAGGGGCGCGAACCGGAUUAGAUACCCGGGUAGUCCUAACUGUAACGAUGCGGACUUGGUGUUGGGGUGGCUUUGAGCUGUCUCAGUGCCGAAGGGAAGCUGUUAAGUCCGCCGCCUGGGAAGUACGGUCGCAAGACUGAAACUUAAAGGAAUU